AAACACCUGGCCAUCAGUCACAGCCAACUAUUUGUGUCUUUGUAAUACCACAACUUCAUCGAUAUGCCAGAAUGUGACGUAUUACACAGAACCACCAACGAACAAUACUCUUUCCAGUAUUCCGUGCUCAGAGCCAAGCACUACCACCACUACCAUAUCUACAACCACAGCCCAAAGUCCUUCCUCAUUACCAGUGCUCACGGUCAAUGACAUCUACACCCAGGCAGUACUUACAGCUUCCAACUUUAUCAGACUCAACGUCACUCUGUCCAGAUGUUACACCGGCGCCCUGUACGCUCCACUCAGCUCUAUUGUCCAGCUGAUAGACUGCUGCGCCCUCUGCGCCAAAUACUCCUCAUGUAAAGGGAUCAACUACCACCCAACUGGCCGAAUUUGUGACCUCAUCACUGAGCUAACUGACCUCAUCGGCACCAACCUGCUAAAACCGGUUCCAGAUUGCACGUACUGGAAGGUUAUAUAUAGAUGGUGACCUUGCCGUGACGCAAAGAUUGCAGACGUCACGUGAACAAUGAAAAUUAAAAAUUACAUUUUAACUCUUUCUCUCCUAACUGACGAUACAAAUGUUGAUUAUACCAGAAUGUGGUAAAUAAUUAAGGAGAGAAAGAGUUAAGAAAUGUGGAAAUCCACAGGGAUUUUUUAAAAAAGGCAUACAAGAAAUCUGACAGAAUCAAAGCUGGACUUAGCUUAACUGUUGCUAGUUUUUAAAAAGUCUUUAAAAAUCUGUAUUAACUUGUAUAGUAUCAUUAUGAAAAUAUCUUCAUUGUCUAUUAUGUAGAGGUCUGUGGAAUUUGUACUGAUCAGAAGAUGGGUUGUUUGUUUUCUUUACGCGAAGUUUUUUUAUUACUUGUGAGUUUGUAGCAAUAAAAUACAGACCAAGACACAAUAAAGUGAAUCAACAGAAUAUGAACUUUUAAUCCAGGGACAGGAACAGUCUCGUCCCAGUCACUAUAAUAAACGAUGUUUUUCUAUAAAGGCCAAGCCUCAACUGUCUGUUUAUCUAUAUCUACCAUCUAGUCUCGUUUUGAAUAUAGGCCGUCAUAAAUGAGCGCUUAUUGACAGUCAUCAAAAGUGCGUCUCUACAAUUAUCACACAAAGAGGGUAUUUUUCAAUUCGA